UACGUAGGGGGCAAGCGUUACCCGGAUUCACUGGGUGUAAAGGGAGCGUAGACGGCCAUGCAAGCCUGGAGUGAAAGCCCGGGGCCCAACCCCGGGACUGCUCUGGGAACUGUGCGGCUGGAGUGCGGGAGGGGCAGGCGGAAUUCCUGGUGUAGCGGUGAAAUGCGUAGAUAUCAGGAGGAACACCGGCGGCGAAGGCGGCCUGCUGGACCGCGACUGACGUUGAGGCUCGAAAGCGUGGGGAGCAAACAGG
rnacentral:rRNA from 1 species